UGCUCCCAGGCGUCGAGCGGCGGACGGGUGAGUAACACUUAGGAAUCUACCUAGUAGUGGGGGAUAGCUCGGGGAAACUCGAAUUAAUACCGCAUACGACCUACGGGAGAAAGGGGGCAGUUUACUGCUCUCGCUAUUAGAUGAGCCUAAGUCGGAUUAGCUAGAUGGUGGGGUAAAGGCCUACCAUGGCGACGAUCUGUAGCUGGUCUGAGAGGAUGAUCAGCCACACCGGGACUGAGACACGGCCCGGACUCCUACGGGAGGCAGCAGUGGGGAAUAUUGGACAAUGGGGGGAACCCUGAUCCAGCCAUGCCGCGUGUGUGAAGAAGGCCUUUUGGUUGUAAAGCACUUUAAGCAGUGAAGAAGACCUAACGGUUAAUACCCGUUAGCGAUGACAUUAGCUGCAGAAUAAGCACCGGCUAACUCUGUGCCAGCAGCCGCGGUAAUACAGAGGGUGCAAGCGUUAAUCGGAAUUACUGGGCGUAAAGCGAGCGUAGGUGGCUUGAUAAGUCAGAUGUGAAAUCCCCGGGCUUAACCUGGGAACUGCAUCUGAUACUGUUAAGCUAGAGUAGGUGAGAGGGAAGUAGAAUUCCAGGUGUAGCGGUGAAAUGCGUAGAGAUCUGGAGGAAUACCGAUGGCGAAGGCAGCUUCCUGGCAUCAUACUGACACUGAGGCUCGAAAGCGUGGGUAGCAAACAGGAUUAGAUACCCUGGUAGUCCACGCCGUAAACGAUGUCUACUAGU
rnacentral:rRNA from 1 species